rnacentral:rRNA from 1 species
GGCCAGCUUGCUGGUCUGAUCAGUGGCGAACGGGUGAGUAACACGUGAGCAACCUGCCCUUCACUCUGGGAUAAGCCUUGGAAACGAGGUCUAAUACCGGAUACGACGCACCUGGGCAUCUGGUGUGCGUGGAAAGAUUUUUCGGUGGAGGAUGGGCUCGCGGCCUAUCAGCUUGUUGGUGGGGUGAUGGCCUACCAAGGCGACGACGGGUAGCCGGCCUGAGAGGGCGACCGGCCACACUGGGACUGAGACACGGCCCAGACUCCUACGGGAGGCAGCAGUGGGGAAUAUUGCACAAUGGGCGCAAGCCUGAUGCAGCGACGCCGCGUGAGGGAUGACGGCCUUCGGGUUGUAAACCUCUUUCAGCAGGGAAGAAGCGCAAGUGACGGUACCUGCAGAAGAAGCGCCGGCUAACUACGUGCCAGCAGCCGCGGUAAUACGUAGGGCGCAAGCGUUGUCCGGAAUUAUUGGGCGUAAAGAGCUCGUAGGCGGUUUGUCGCGUCUGCUGUGAAAACUCGAGGCUCAACCUCGGGCUUGCAGUGGGUACGGGCAGACUAGAGUGCGGUAGGGGUGACUGGAAUUCCUGGUGUAGCGGUGGAAUGCGCAGAUAUCAGGAGGAACACCGAUGGCGAAGGCAGGUCACUGGGCCGCAACUGACGCUGAGGAGCGAAAGCAUGGGGAGCGAACAGGAUUAGAUACCCUGGUAGUCCAUGCCGUAAACGUUGGGCACUAGGUGUGGGGCUCAUUCCACGAGUUCCGUGCCGCAGCAAACGCAUUAAGUGCCCCGCCUGGGGAGUACGGCCGCAAGGCUAAAACUCAAAGAAAUUGACGGGGGCCCGCACAAGCGGCGGAGCAUGCGGAUUAAUUCGAUGCAACGCGAAGAACCUUACCAAGGCUUGACAUACACCGGAAAAGUGCAGAGAUGUGCUCCCCUUUUGGUCGGUGUACAGGUGGUGCAUGGUUGUCGUCAGCUCGUGUCGUGAGAUGUUGGGUUAAGUCCCGCAACGAGCGCAACCCUCGUCCCAUGUUGCCAGCGGGUUAUGCCGGGGACUCAUGGGAGACUGCCGGGGUCAACUCGGAAGAAGGUGGGGAUGACGUCAAAUCAUCAUGCCCCUUAUGUCUUGGGCUUCACGCAUGCUACAAUGGCCCGGUACAAAGGGCUGCGAUACCGCGAGGUGGAGCGAAUCCCAAAAAGCCGGUCUCAGUUCGGAUUGGGGUCUGCAACUCGACCCCAUGAAGUCGGAGUCGCUAGUAAUCGCAGAUCAGCAACGCUGCGGUGAAUACGUUCCCGGGCCUUGUACACACCGCCCGUCAAGUCACGAAAGUCGGUAACACCCGAAGCCG